AACUCAGAUGUAGCCUGUUCUACCACAGCAGAUGCAACUCCUUCUUUGUUGGAGGGACAACAUGACCAAGUCUUUCUCACCCAACAGCUGACUGCCCACCAAGUUGCUCCUGGAUACAGUGGAAGGUUGGAUUGCUUCAGCAGCCCUGAACCGCCCCCAGCUCCCUAGCAUGGUGAUGCUUGGAAGGAAAUCCUACAACCUGAGCACACAGCCAGCUUCUCCCAGUCAUUCUGUCCUGCACAAAGGCAACAGAUGCCAUGAUCCAACACCCGGCUCUUGGGCCAAGUUAAAAGGCACCUGCUUCUAAUUUCCUUUGCUGACAACAUGGCUGGGCUCAUUGUGGUAGAGAAACCCACCCUACACGACGUGGGAAGAAGGCAAAGGAGAAUCCCCUGGUUUUCAGGGAGUGGUUUCCGCUGUGUUCCAUCCAGAUGUGCAACCAUCCCCUACAACUCCCUGCUCUGAUCUCAUCCUGGAGCUGGCUACGGAGGGCUGGGGUGCUUGUGGCACCAAGCAGGGCUGAGAAGAUGUUUCUGCAUUCUGGGUGAUAUUUAGACACUCACACUUCAUCACCCUGUUUUCAUCUGACCCCAAGUGCUGAGGUGGUAAUGUAACCACUUGGUCAACCUGACUGCCAGGAAUUUUCCUCUACAACAAAAGGAAAGCCACAUGGUCAUGGCUAUGACCCUGCCUCUGCAAAGGACCCUUUCCCUCUUAUUCUCCACAAAUAUUGAUCUGAAAGCCAAAGGGGAAUGCUUCACACCAGGCCCUACUGAAGAACUUAUUUGAGACCCAAGUUUCUUUGUGCUUCUUCUCACCUGCAAGCAAGAAACAGCUGAGGGCAAUCCUGCUGCUGAGGACAAUCCUGCUGCUGAGGACAAUUCUGCUGCUGAGGGCAUCUUUUGAAGGAAAAGGGCUGUCAGCCCAGAGCCAGCAGGCAUAAAGUAUUACAGUUCCCAUUGCAUUGAACAGCAUCCUUUUAUGAGCUGACAGUAUGCAAGCCAUAAAAUCCAUGGAUGUUUCUGUACUCUGUAAAAUGUGUUCUUUAGAUCUGUCCAGGGAACAACAGCUUUUCCAGUUUAUUUGUAUGGGUGGAGUUGAGGAAUGCUUUCAAUGUUUGUUGCACAAUCCUCUGCUACUGUGGCUGAGGGAUUGCUCUUCCCCUGCUACUCCCAGUGCACUGAGCCCUUCCUGCUCUAGAGGUUAUUGUGCCAACCCCAAAACCUGGUCUGCUGACCCAGGUUAUUGCCUUGUUGCAUUUGCUCUAGCUGCUCUCUUGCUUCCAGUGGUGCCUGUGAGCUCAGAAUGAGAACAGGGCUUUUUCUCUGUCUCCUGCUGGGGUCUGGUGCUACCCAGCUGUCCCCACUCAGAGCCUGCAGAGCCCUGGCUGCCACAGGACAAACCCACUCCAGGAGCAAGCCAGAAAAGGGGGAAUGGGCAGGGUGGCAGGUAGAGCUCAUGCCUGUGCUUCAACCCUAACUGGUUUUCUAAUAUAGGUUCAGGUAGUAUUCCUUAGAGAGUCAGAUAAGGAAAAUAAAUACCAAACAUAGAAUAAAUGCAGAAGACACCACAUAACCCUAGAUUAACAGUUUAGUGCUUCUGUGUUGGUAUAGAAAAGUAGAAGCAUCCCCAGGUUUUUAUGGUUUUCCUCUAAGGGCAGUCCAAUGUUCUGUCUUCAUUGAAUUUUUUUUUCUUACAAAAUUUCUGUUGUAAACUAGAAAACAAUCUCCCUUUUGUGACCCUUUUGGCUAAGGCGGAAAGUGUUUGUGGUCUGCCUCAACUAAAACAAUAAUGUGAAAUUUUAUCUAAUCAUCUAGUGUGAAAUUAGUCAGAUGUGACAUUUUUGCCCUUGUGAUCAACUUGCAAUCAAGGAAUAUACUUUCAGUAAAUGAACAGAUAGAAUUUCUCUAAAUUUAUUUGUCAUUGCACUCUUCUAUCCUGCUAUGGUGGCAAAUAAGUUAGAGAAUUAUCCACAGUCCACCCACCCCCUUUUUCUGCCCCACAAAGAGAGUUACACUUAUGGCAAAAGGAUAAAUAUAGCCAGAAGCUGGGGGUAAUGAGCUGAGCCUUAGUCCAUCCAUUGGAAGAUCCUUGAAGAGAAUGCUUUGAUCCAUAACAACAUUCCUGGUGAGAAAAGAGGCACCACCUGAGUCCCUGCACAGCCAGGGCCAGGUGCUGAUUUGAUGUUUCUGCGCUUCAGAUGGGAGCAAUCCCUCAGGGAAAGGGUGCAAUGAAAACAGCCCAUGAACUAGUGGAAUGAGGUCAUGUCUAGAGAGCUCAAAAACAGAAACUGUGGCCAUGCAAUAUAAAGAAUCCACUAGUUAAAGACCCCACUGAAACUCCUGUCAUGCCUUACCAAUACUAAGAUUUCUUCUGUUUCAAGAGCUUUGUUGUGGUCUCCUUUAGGCUGUGAGUUUUCCUUUCAUGUAUUGGAUAUUCCUGCUAAUGUCAAAGCUGAUUGUCAUGACUGUUUUUAAAUUGUUUAAUGGCCACUGUACUGGAGUUUAAAUAAUUCUGUACUGUAUUGGGUUUUGUGGCAAGGCUUUGGUGAAGACACCAGAAGCCUCCCCUUUGUCGGACAAAGUCAAUGUCACUGGCAACAAAAUGAACCCAUCACUGGUUGAGGAUGAGGCCAUCAGAAACACCAUCCCCAUAAACACCACCCCCAUCCUCACAAAAACCUUCUGCACUUUCUGCAGCUAACUACAGCCCAAAUAGCACUGGGAAGGGGAUAUGCUUUCCAUGCAUUUGUGCUAACAUACUCUAGUUUUUGGAAAAGUACUCCUCCAAACCUGCAAAAAAAUUUGACUCUACCCACUUUGUAGUCAGCACCAUUUGUCUGGGCAGGGGUAUAGAAUGUCACAUACUGGUUAAACUGCAUAUAACUUGUAAGACUUUGUUUACUUUUGCCUCUACAGAAAAAGCAUCUGUUUCCUUUCAGUGUCUAGAGUUUCACCUGAAAUUGGUAAGUACUGGUUGACUUGUAUCAGCUGAGGGAAUGAAGCCUUUCCCACUUUGUUUUUGAAGGUGCCACAGGUGUUACACAAUGCAUGUGGAAGGCAGCUCUAUGUUUUCAUUGCAAAAUGACAGCAAUAUUAGAGAGAGGUGAAAAUUACUCUGUGAUACUUCCAAGUUCCAUUAGCUAAUAGAGGUGUCUGAGCUCUUUGCUCUAACUUAUCUUGGGCUGUGCAGUAACAGGGAGUACAGCCCUAUAAUGCCCAGAUAAAUGCUCUCUUUGCCAACCCAAGCAUUCAUGUCCCUGUGGUUCUAUUCCCACAGAAGAUGGGUGGCCAGCUGUGUAACAUGCUCUGUGGUUGUUGGGCUUUCAGCCUGGACUAUCAUGGAGAAUUCCAGAGUUAGCCAAUCCAUCAUCUCAUUUUUCUUGAAAUAUCUUUUCUGGGGCGUAGAGGUUCACAGAACAGAUAAAUAUUUAUUUGUAUAUCAUCCUUUUUGAUACAUUACCAUGGAAACAAGUAAUGAAAAAAAAUACUCUCAAGCAAGUGGUUUUGUUUUCAAAUAUUAUUUUUUCAACUUUCACCUUUCCAGCUCUGCUCCUGUUGGGAGAUUGGAUUCUCUUUCUGCAUCUGCCACUAGAUGGUAUUGCUUUAACAGGCACUUUCCUGCCUCUUCUGCACCCUUGAGACACAGGCCCCAGAAAAGCAGGGGCUGCCUGUGUUUUUAAUGUUCUUCAGGCAUCUCCUAGCAAAUGUUGAGGACACAGAAUAGCAGAUAUUUAGUCCCACAGCUGGCAGCUUCUUGUGCUUGCAGCUCAAUUUCUGCUUAAGGACAAGUUUUAUAUUUGCUCUAUAAUCCACAAGGUAAGAAAGGUCUUUCUUUGUUCAUCCUGAAAUUUCAGAAUACCUGAUGUAUAAAAUCUGAAGCAAACAAACAAAACUUUGUAUCCUCCGAGUCUUUUAGCUAAUACAAAAAUGCAAAUAAAAGGCUUCUUUUUCUUUCACAAUUGUAAAAUUUUUUCAACAGUUUUGUAUUUCCUUUAUGUGCUCACAAAAGAAAAGCAGCUAAUAUGCAGGAAGUCAUUCAGCAAAAUUGUUAUUAUUCAAGGAGAUAAAAACAUCAGUGUGGUGAGAUAUGAAGUAACUUUAUAUUAAAAGUUAAUGACUUGGACUGUUCAGUCUAAAUUAUUUGUUAUUUCCUAAUCCUUGAUAUGCAUCUUUAUGGUAAGUUUAUAUGA